rnacentral:rRNA from 26 species
CCUGGUUGAUCCUGCCAGUAGUCAUAUGCUUG